rnacentral:lncRNA from 1 species
CUUCGGUGGGCGACGCGAGGCGGCAGGGAAGGCAGGCACGGCUCCCAGCUGGUUAUCACACUUUAGAAAACCAUGGGCCCAAUGACUGUCUCAAAAGGAACACAGACCUUUGGCAUCAUUGUACCGGUGAGAAGAAACAUUAGAAGCAGUCAAGAGACCAGCAAGUGGGUCCUCUAGGGAUGAGGAGGCAUCUGAAUAGACUGGGUUGUACUCCUAUGUUCUGACUGCAACCCAUCCAUGGAGUCAAGUGUGGAAUUUUCCAUUUGUGGUGUCAUGUCAGCACUCCAAAAGUUUCAGAUUUUGGAGCACUUUGAAUUUCAGAUUUUCAGAUUAGGAAUGCUCAACCUGCAUUAUUAUGAAUAAAGAGGAACAUUACAUAAUUAAAAUGUGUAACUCAUUAAAGAGGUAAUAAUCCUAAAUGUGUGUGCACCUAACAACAGGGCUUCAAAAUAUAUGAAACAAAAGCUAAAAGAACUAAAGGAAAAAUAAAGAAAUCUGCAUUUAUACAUGUAAACAUCAACACUUCUUUCUCAGAAAUCAAUAGAAGAAUUUAAUUAAAAAUUAGUAGGAUAUAAGAGAACAAUACUAUCAAUUAAGUUGACCAUAUUAGCUUUUUUUUUAACAACAUUUUACCCAACAUCAACAGACUACACAAUCUUUCCAAAUGUACAUGGGACAUUAACCAAAAUAGACCAUACUCUGGACCAUAAAACAAAUAUUAACAAGUUUAAAGAAUUAAAAGCAUACACAGAAUAGACAAUUUCAUAGAGACAGAGAAUAGGCUAGUGGUUACACGAGGUUGGGGGAAAUGGCAUGCUAUUGUUUAAUGGGUACAGAGCUUCUGGUGAUGAUGAAAAUGUUCUGGAAAUAGUGAUGAUGGUUACACAACAUUGUAAAUGUGCUUAAUGCAACUGAGUUGUGAACUUGAAAAUGGCAAAUUUUAUAUCAUGGUUAUUUAAAAAAAAGUCCACUGGGGAAAAAAAUCCAUAUAUAUAAUCUGUUAUCUCACCAGAGCAGGAUUAAACAAGAAAACAAUAGAACGAUAUCAGGAAAAUCCCCAAAUAUUUGGAAAUUGAACCACAUACUUCUAAAUAAACCAUGUGCCAAAGAGAAUUUUCAAGGAAAUUAGAAAAUAUUUUGAAUUGAAUAAAAAUAAAAACAAAUAAAUAAAAACACAUUUAAAAAAAUCAAAAUUUGUGGACUGCAGCCAAUACUUAAAGGAAAACUUACAAAACAGAAUGUAUAUAUUAGAAAAGAACAAGUGUGUAAAAGUAAUAGCCUAAGCUUUGAGCUUAAGAACCUAGAAAAAGGAUGAAAUAAAUGCAAGCAUGUAGAAAAAAUAAAAUAAUAAAUAUAGCAGUGGAAAUCAAUAAAAUUGAAAAUAAGGAAAUAAUAAAACAAUGAAAUAAAAAGCUAAUUCAUUGAAAAGACCAGUAAAAUGUAUAAACCUUUAGCCAAACUGAC